rnacentral:misc_RNA from 1 species
GUCGAUUUAGCUUUUAACUAGUUCUUUUCCUUCGUUUAAUAUCAUUGCUGAAAUGGUGAUAGUUGACCGCAAAAGACUUCGUUUUUACAAUCUACUUCUCCCCAGGGAGCAGGUUAUUGUAACCUGCUCUUACGUUUGCAAGCAGAAUGAUGGAGAUGGCGAUGACGAUGACGAUGAUGAUGGCACAGACAUAGCCCCUGCCGCAUAAUAUAUAUAUAUUCUCUAUAAUGUGAUGACUCCUAUAUGUAUUAGGAUCAACAGUAUAGGGAUGUUGUAUGGCUUAUAUUGCAUGAAUAUUGGAGUUAAGGAGGUACUUGCGUACGUAGGAGCUAUUGAGUACUCAAUGGUGAGAAUAUUUUAUGUAUGCCUUUGUUGAAGAGAAGACAUUGGUCUUCUCUUGUUCUUGGAUAACUGGGCAUGGUAUAAUAUAUGGCUCGGGCUAGCGGUGGCAAGACUGGGUUUGGUACUUUUACUGUUUGAGCAUUGAUUAAUGGGUAUAGAUGCGGAUCCAUUAAGAGCAGCUGCGGGCGGAGAACUUGCAUGAAGCUUCCUCUGUGAUCGAUUUUCCUGACUUCUUGUUCUCUGAUUUUGAUCCUGGUUGCCUUGCCUUCACUUCUCGGAUCAAAUGUAUGGUUGCUAUAAGUUUAUAUAACGAAAAUAAUCAUACUUAUUUAUUAUUAAUGCCUUCUCUCACGUGCAUUGAUAGAGAUAUAUGCCUUCUUUUUCUUAAUCAUGCCAUAGUUUUUCCCCCU